ensembl:lncRNA TTN-AS1 TTN antisense RNA 1
GGAAUUUUCAUCCGCACAGACUAUAUCAGCCACGGAUAGGAUAUGUGAGAAUACCAGCAUGUCAAGGCUGGGAAUCAUCCUUAGGCAUCACCUAGCCAGUCCUGCCUCUCAUUUUAAGAGAAUAGACGCCUUGAUGGCUCCUCUGGCAGUUCUUGAUGACCAUGGAUGAGCUAAUGGCUGUGGUCUCAAUGGUGGCUUCUUGAGGAGCAUGCAGAGAAAUUGCUUUAGCCUCUGAUAAAUAAAACAGACUGCGAGGAAAAUUACAGCGAGGAAAUUACAGACAUCAUCUCCUUUGAACAGGGAAAAGGUAACAGGCUCUGCAGUACCUACCUACCAUGUUACUGUCUUGGUUGUUGGUCUCUCCAGUUGGUAAUACAAGCAUUUCCCACACAUGUACAGAAAGCAAAAAGGACAACAAUAUGAAAUGAAGUGACAACAUCUGUGCCAAUGUAUGGCAUUUACCUGUCACAGUUAGUGUGGCUGUACAGCUGACACUGCCAUACUCAUUGGAAGCUUUGCAUGUAUACUCGCCGCAGUCAACCACCUGGGUUCUCAGGAUUUCAAGGCUGGAGAUAUACUUUGAAGAUCGAAUAGAACACUUGUCACUCUCAUAAAUUUCUCGGCCAGCUUUAAACCACUGGAACCGGACAUUGGGAGCACUUUGGAUCUCACAGCAUAUAAGCAUUAGAAGACAGGACUCAAGUGUCUGCUGGCUGUAAAAAUACUGGAGAAACUCAUCUAUAGCAUGCAGAAUACAUAUUCAGUCAUUGUGUACAAUGCAGCUGUAUAGUCCUUGGUCUACCAGCUGAACAUUACAUAUGACUCAGGUUGGCUGUGCUUGAUACUUGGCCUACAGCAUUACUAGCAACAAACGUCUUCUUCCUUUGGUGAACUGAAUGAGGCACCAGGAUACACAUGAACUGCCACUGGACAUGAACUGCACACAAUAAAAACCCGGCAUUGAAAACGGGCUGGCUGCCCUUCAGAAGUGACAGUGUCCUGAAGCGGGGUGAUGAUGGCAGGUGGAUAAACAGGCAUUUCCUGAUCAGGAGACACAACUUCUGGAACUAAAGAAAGAAACCACAAGAUUUGUCAUGAUUAAGUCACCAUAGAGACCUCACAGAAGGGAGCAUGACAUCAAUUCCAGAGUGGGACAGCUCAACCUCAAACACCACAUUUUGAGUUUCUGUACAGGUUGUCUUUUUCCCGUCGAUGACAAAGCUGUAUUCUCCCUGGUCCUCCUUGGUUACAUCCUUGACCGUGAGGUUCUGACGUCCACGACGAGAUGUAAUUGUAUAUUUGCCAUUGGAUUUAAGCUCCACAUCAUUAUGAUACCAUUUUCCUUCUAUAUUUUCUGGGGAUACAAUGCACUCUAAUUCUCCUGAAUAUGAUUCUGGAACUUCUAUGUCCUGAAGUUCUUUCACAAACUCAACAACUGCACCUGAAGUGUAUAACAGAAAGAUAAAUCAAUUUUUUUGGAGAGCCUACGUCCAGGGGACAUUCUUGCAGGGGACAUCCGUGCAGGAGACAUCCUUGCAGGUGACAUCCGUGCAGGAGACAUGCGUAUAGGAGACCUGCUCACUGAACGUGGAGAGAGAGAUCUGCAAAACAAAGACACACAAUACUUUCGUGAGGCAUAAAGAAAACUCAGCAAAACAAACUUCAUUUUGUCUUAUUCAUUAUUCAUGUUAUUUUAGAAUUUACUUCUUGCACGUAUUAGAAGGCACCUCAAACUCAUUCAGAUCUAAAAUAGAAUAUAUUAUUGUUGCCCCCACAACUAUGUUUUUCCUAUAUUCUCAAUUUUAGCUGGUAGUCAUUCAGUAUAUCCAGGUACCCAGGCUCAAAAAUCUUGGAAUAAUCCUCAAUACUCUCUUUUCCUUACCACUUGGAUUUAAUCAGUCACUAGACUUUUUUGAUUUAACUACUAAAACAUCCUAAUAAAUGUUGGUUGGAUAAGUAAACCAAUGAAUACAUUUAUGGAAAAAUAAAAAAUACACAUUCUUUAUCUCAGAGGAGGAAAACAUAGAAAUGAAUUUGGAAACAAAACAAAGCAAAACAAGACUCCAUCUACACAUUGCAGCCAGACUGACUUGGAGUUUGAAUGCUGGCACCACCGCUUACAGGCUGGAUGAAUUAAGACAAUUUUCAUAGAUUCCCAGGGCCUCAGUGUUCCUAUUUCCAAACCAAUAAUAGUCAUCUUUUUAUUGCAGGGCUGUUGUAUAAAUUUACAUAUGUAAAAAUCAGGUGUCAAAUAAGAGCUAUUGUGAUAUUAGCUAUAGCACUAGGAAAAUAAACAGUAUGUUACACUGAUGAAAAUUCUUUGCUCAUCUUACACAGGGGCAAGAAAUAAAAACUUCUGGCAAUUGUUGGUGUUGCCAAUGGUGCAACAUACCAUGAAGAUUAAGGAAACUUAGCAACAGUGAACUUGGACCUUCUAAUAGCUGUCUAACCCCGAGCUCAUCACUUGAAAAUGAAAAUAUCAAAUAAAAAA